UACGAAGGGGGCUAGCGUUGCUCGGAAUCACUGGGCGUAAAGGGUGCGUAGGCGGGGCUUUAAGUCAGGGGUGAAAUCCUGGAGCUCAACUCCAGAACUGCCUUUGAUACUGAGGAUCUUGAGUUCGGGAGAGGUAAGUGGAACUGCGAGUGUAGAGGUGAAAUUCGUAGAUAUUCGCAAGAACACCAGUGGCGAAGGCGGCUUACUGGUCCGGUUCUGACGCUGAGGCGCGAAAGCGUGGGGAGCAAACAGG
rnacentral:rRNA from 1 species